rnacentral:rRNA from 1 species
AGUGAACGCUGGCGGUAGGCCUAACACAUGCAAGUCGAACGGCAGCACAGUAAGAGCUUGCUCUUACGGGUGGCGAGUGGCGGACGGGUGCGGAAUACAUCGGAAUCUACUUUUUCGUGGGGGAUAACGUAGGGAAACUUACGCUAAUACCGCAUACGACCUACGGGUGAAAUCAGGGGAUCUUCGGACCUUGCGCGAUUGAAUGAGCCGAUGUCGGAUUAGCUAGUUGGCGGGGUAAAGGCCCACCAAGGCGACGAUCCGUAGCUGGUCUGAGAGGAUGAUCAGCCACACUGGAACUGAGACACGGUCCAGACUCCUACGGGAGGCAGCAGUGGGGAAUAUUGGACAAUGGGCGCAAGCCUGAUCCAGCCAUACCGCGUGGGUGAAGAAGGCCUUCGGGUUGUAAAGCCCUUUUGUUGGGAAAGAAAAGCAGCAGGUUAAUACCCCGCUGUUCUGACGGUACCAAAAGAAUAAGCACCGGCUAACUUCGUG